rnacentral:rRNA from 1 species
AUCAUUAAAGAGUUACACAAAACUCCCAAACCCAUGUGAACUUACCUCUUUCGUUGCCUCGGCAGGCCUCCGGUGUUCCGCCUCCGGGCGGGCCCCGGGUCCUACAGGUCUGCCGGCGGCCCCUCUCUUAAACUCAUGAAUUACCCUGUAUAUCUGAGCGUUUAAAUACAAAUAAGUAAAAACUUUCAACAACGGAUCUCUUGGUUCUGGCAUCGAUGAAGAACGCAGCGAAAUGCGAUAAGUAAUGUGAAUUGCAGAAUUCAGUGAAUCAUCGAAUCUUUGAACGCACAUUGCGCCUAUUAGUAUUCUAGUAGGCAUGCCUAUUCGAGCGUCAUUUCAACCCUUAAGCCUAGCUUAGUGUUGGGAGAUUACCCUGCGGUACCUCCCUAAAACCAUUGGCAGAGUCGAUACACCUCUGAGCGCAGUAAUUCAUCUCGCUUUUGCGAACACGUGUAUUAGCCCUAGCCACAAGCCUAUAUUUUCUCAAUGGUGACCUCGGAUUAGGUAGGAAACCCCA